CCUACGGGCGGCAGCAGUAGGGAAUAUUGCUCAAUGGGGGAAACCCUGAAGCAGCAACGCCGCGUGGAGGAUGAAGGUUUUCGGAUUGUAAACUCCUUUUGUUAGAGAAGAUAAUGACGGUAUCUAACGAAUAAGCACCGGCUAACUCCGUGCCAGCAGCCGCGGUAAUACGGAGGGUGCAAGCGUUACUCGGAAUCACUGGGCGGAAAGAGCGCGGAGGCGGGAUAGCAAGUCAGAUGUGAAAUCCUAUGGCUUAACCAUAGAACUGCAUUUGAAACUGUUAUUCUAGAGUAUGGUAGAGGUAGGUGGAAUUCUUGGUGUAGGGGUAAAAUCCGUAGAGAUCAAGAGGAAUACUCAUUGCGAAGGCGACCUGCUAGAACAUAACUGACGCUGAUGCGCGAAAGCGUGGGGAGCAAACAGGAUUAGAUACCCCUGUAGUC
rnacentral:rRNA from 1 species